GACGGAGGAUGCAAGCGUUAUCCGGAAUGAUUGGGCGUAAAGCGUCCGCAGGUGGCAGUUCAAGUCUGCUGUCAAAGACCGGGGCUUAACUUCGGAAAGGCAGUGGAAACUGAACAGCUAGAGUAUGGUAGGGGCAGAGGGAAUUCCCGGUGUAGCGGUGAAAUGCGUAGAGAUCGGGAAGAACAUCGGUGGCGAAAGCGCUCUACUGGACGGUAUCUGACACUGAGGGACGAAAGCUAGGGGAGCGAAUGGG
rnacentral:rRNA from 1 species